GCACUUACCUGGCAGGGGAGAUACCAUGAUCACGAUGGUCAUUUUCCCAGGGGGAGGCUAAUCCAUUGCACUUGGAUGUGCUGACCCUUGUAAUUUCCUCAAAUGUGGGAAACCCAAAUGCUUAAUUUGUGGUAGCAGGAUGCUGCAUCCAUGCUCUCCCCUG